rnacentral:rRNA from 1 species
GACGAACGCUGGCGGCGUGCCUAAUACAUGCAAGUUGAGCGCUGAAGGUUGGUACUUGUACCAACUGGAUGAGCAGCGAACGGGUGAGUAACGCGUGGGGAAUCUGCCUUUGAGCGGGGGACAACAUUUGGAAACGAAUGCUAAUACCGCAUAAAAACUUUAAACACAAGUUUUAAGUUUGAAAGAUGCAAUUGCAUCACUCAAAGAUGAUCCCGCGUUGUAUUAGCUAGUUGGUGAGGUAAAGGCUCACCAAGGCGAUGAUACAUAGCCGACCUGAGAGGGUGAUCGGCCACAUUGGGACUGAGACACGGCCCAAACUCCUACGGGAGGCAGCAGUAGGGAAUCUUCGGCAAUGGACGAAAGUCUGACCGAGCAAUGCCGCGUGAGUGAAGAAGGUUUUCGGAUCGUAAAACUCUGUUGGUAGAGAAGAACGUUGGUGAGAGUGGAAAGCUCAUCAAGUGACGGUAACUACCCAGAAAGGGACGGCUAACUACGUG